rnacentral:lncRNA from 1 species
UGCUGUAAAAAGAACCCGUAUAGACAGAACUUAGAAACAAACCCUGCCAUCCAGAGAGAAUACCCAUGCAUAUACAUGGUACCAUCAGAAUAUACCUACAAUCCAUUUAAACUUGCAUAUAGUGUCUAUCACAAAAAAAAGCAAAGAACACACAACACAAUUGUCAUAGCUCACAUAUACCCAAACAUCCAGAAUACACACAUACACUGAAUUGCUGAAAUCAGAACUCUCAGGCACUGUUCUAUCAUACAAAUAUAGAAGCAGAACCUCUGUAGACAAAGAAUCAACACUCAGUAAACACAGUGAAAAAACAGAGG